ACGUAGGGUGCGAGCGUUAAUCGGAAUUACUGGGCGUAAAGCGUGCGCAGGCGGUUUUGUAAGACAGUGGUGAAAUCCCCGGGCUCAACCUGGGAAAUGCCAUUGUGACUGCAAGGCUGGAGUGCGGCAGAGGGGAGUGGAAUUCCUAGUGUAGGGGGGAAAUGAGUAGAUAAUAGGAGUAAAACCAGUGGCGCAGGCGGAUAACUGGAAAGUAAAUGACCCUGAGGCGCGAAAGCGUGGGGAGAAAACAG
rnacentral:rRNA from 1 species